CUUGUACUUGUCUCAACUCAGCCUCUCUGUUAAACCAGUUUCAAUCUUCAAGUAGGAGAUGGAUUUUUUCUUGAGCUUCAUACUCUUGUCACUGUGCUUUGCUGCCUCCUGGUUCUUGAUCCAAGCCCUCUAUGGAAGAACCAGACUUAGGCUUCCUCCAGGGCCAAAGCCAUUUCCACUUGUUGGGAAUCUGUUUGAGCUUGGAGAGAAACCUCAUGUCUCUCUGACUAAGCUUUCACAACGCUACGGCCCCUUAAUCAGUUUGCAACUCGGGCAAGUCACUACUGUUGUAGCUUCUUCAUCAGCCAUGGCCAAAGAAAUCCUCCGAAACCAUGAUCAAUUCUUCUGCAACAGAACAGUCCCAGAUGCACUACUAGCCUUUGCAGACUACAGCUUGCCUUGGCUUCCUGUAUCACCGAGGUGGAGAAACCUUCGCAAACUAUGUAACUCGCAAUUGUUUGCCACCAAAGUUCUUGAUGCCAACCAAGACAGUCGGCGAUUCAAAUUGCAAGAGCUCAUUGCUAGUGUCAAUGACUGCAUGGUAAAGGGUGUGGCAGUAGAUAUUGGAGAGGCUGCUUUCAAAACCACGCUCAAUCUGCUAUCAAGGACUUGUUUCUCUAUGGAUUUAGCUGACACUGGCUCGGGGAGUAAUGAAACGGCUAGAGAGUUCAAGGAGAUUGUUUGGGGUCUAAUGGAAGAGGCUGGGAAGCCGAAUUUUAGGGGACUUUUUUCCUGUGCUUAGGAAGAUUGACCCCCAAGGCAUACGUCGUCGCUUUCACAGUUACUACAUCAAGAUGUUAGGCUUCAUCGGAUCUAUGAUCAAUCAGAGGACGAACUCCAGAAAAGGGAAUGAUUAUGUCACACAUAAUGAUAUGUUGGAUACCAUUAUGAACAUCAGUCAAGAGAAUAAUGAGGAGGAUAUGAAAGACCUCCAAGUUGUUGAACACUUGUUUCUGGCUCUAUUUGCUGCGGGCACAGACACAACUUCAGCCACAUUGGAAUGGGCAAUGGCUGAGCUACUAAACAACCCAAAAUGUCUUUCUAAAGCUCAAGAAGAGAUGGAUCAAGCAAUUGGAAAAGGAAAACCAAUCGAGGAAUCUGACAUUGCUAGACUGCCUUACUUACAAGCAAUAAUCAAGGAGACCUUCCGCUUGCACCCAGCGGUUCCAUUGCUACUGCCACGAAAAGCUGAGACAGAUGUAGAAAUCGGGGGCUACAUUGUUCCGAAGGGUGCACAAGUUCUAGUCAAUGUUUGGGCCAUAGGCAGAGACCCCAGCAUUUGGGACAAUCCAAACUCUUUUAUGCCAGAGAGGUUCUUGGGAUUAGACAACCAAAUUGAUGUUAUGGGAAAAAACUUUGAGCUUAUUCCAUUUGGGGGUGGGAGGAGAAUCUGUCCAGGUUUGCCAUUGGCAAUGAGAAUGUUGCACUUGAUGCUGGGUUCACUCAUCAACUGCUUUGAUUGGAAGCUUGAAGAUGGAGUUGUACCUGAGACUAUGAACAUGGAAGACAAGUUUGGCCUCACUUUACAAAUGGCUAAGUCUCUCAUAGCUCAACCUCUCAUAGCUUCUCAUAGCUGUGUUCAUCCAUCCUAAGUUAUGGCAUAUAAGGGAGACAUAUGGUUAUGCUUGACGCAUUAUUUCCUUACAAGAGUGGCCAUGCCAAUUUGACAUUGACCAUCAAAUGUAAUUUGUUUGGGGAAAAUAAACUGCUUAUCCCUCUGGAGGACAAUACCUCCAUCCAAAUAAGAGGAAACAGAUACUAGCCUGUUUUGGGUUACAGCUCUUGGUCUAUC